AUCUUCUUAUGGAGAUGAGUCCAAUGGAAUUGGAUUAACUCAUGAAAAAGUAUUUGCAUUCAAGUAGUUUUGGCACAAGAUGAUGUGUUAUUUUUGUGUUUUCCUAAGCAUCCAAAUAGGGCUUCAUGAGUUUCUAGUACUAACAAAAGGGCAAUUGGGCACCUAGCAUUUCAUGGAGCUGUAUAAAGAAACACAUUCUGGACACCCUACAGGCAAGGUAUCACAUGUCACUCUGCCAGCAGAUGGAGAAACCCAAGUAGGAAAAAGCGAAUUAGAGUCACAGAGGAAGCAGGUGAUAGACCGACUCCCAUUGUCUAGCCUACUGGACUCAACCACUCUCAUAAACACCCAGCAAUAACAUCAGCUCCAUAUCAAAAGUGGUAAGCCAUGAGUCACAGCCUCCCGAGCUGUGUUCAGAGGAAGUCCCUGCCCCUAAGCCAUAAUAGAGUUGGAAAAUAUUGAAACAAUCCUUAAGAAAGAAGUGGAGGGGGCAGCUGGAUGGCUCAGGGGAUUGAGAUCCAGACCCAGAGAUGGGAGAUCCUAGCUUCAAAUCUGGCCUCAGAUACUUCCCAACUAUGUGACCAUGGGCAAGUCACUUAACCUCCAUUGCCUAGCCCAUACUGCUCUUCUGCCUUGGAACCAAUACAUAGUAUUGAUUCUAAGAUGAAAGGUAAAGGUUUUAGGAAAAGAAAGAAAGAAAGAAAGAAAGAAAGAAAGAAAGAAAGAAAGAAAGAAAGAAAGAAAGAAAGAAAGAAAGAAAGAAAGAAAGAAAGAAAGAAAGAAAGAAAGAAAGAAAGAAAGAAAGAAAGAAAGAAAGAAAGAAAGAAAGGAAGGAAAGAAAGGAAGGAAGGAAGGAAGGAAGGAAGGAAGGAAGGAAGGAAGGAAGGAAGAAAGGAAGGAAGAAAGGAAGAAAGGAAGAGAAUGAAAGUAUGGAAGGAAGGAAGAAAAAGAAAAAAGAAGUGGAAAUGAAAGAGAAUGAAAGGAUGGAUGGAAGGAAGAAAAAGGAAAAAAGAAGUGGAAAUGGUAAGG
rnacentral:lncRNA from 1 species